AGGAAAUAGAACUUUGAAAUUUAGAAAUUGAUUAUGUAGAUGUGUAAUGUAAUGGGUUAUAAUGAAUAUAUCAUUAUUAUUAACAAACUAAUUUAGGAAAUAGAACCUAGAAAUUUAGAAAUUGAUUAUGUAGAUGUAUAAUAUAAUUAAUAUAUUAUUCUUAUGAGUUUAUAUUUCAGUAAUAUGUAUAUGAAAAGUUAAGAUGAAUGUAUACAUGCAAUGUUAAGAUAAAGUCUGAACAAUUAAUAAUACAACUUGGGAGAUAUUUACAAAACUGACCUGGUUAAGAUUUAUUUAAAGUAAGAAAGCAAACACACUCAGGGUGGGGUAUAAUUGGAAUCAAUAACAUAGAAAGUCAGACCUGAUUAAAUCCAAACAAGAAUACAUUGAGUCCAGAGUCAGCAUAUAGAUACGAGAUUAUAAGUAACAAUCAUGGUCAAUAAACAGCACAGAUGAAAAGGUCUGCUAUUGUCUGGAGUACAAAAGUCAUAGUACUGACGAAAGUAACAGAAUUACUCUAUACCAAUAAAAAUUGAUUAGUACCAAUAUACAUUGAUUAAAUUUUAGUAUAUCCGCCAAGCAAGUGAAUACAUGAAAAAAGUGUUCCUUCUAGAAUAUUCUGACGAAUCAACCAAUGAAUAAUAACCAUACUAGCUGAGGACCAAUCAAAAGUUUAAAAGAAAAAUAUGCAAAUUAAAUUGGGGACAAAAUGGGGAUGUUUGGAAGGAGAGCGGCACUCUGCGCUUGGGUUAGGAAAAUACAACAGAUAGACUUAGAAAAUAAUGUUUAAACUAUAAAUACAAUUUUGAUGUUAGAGAAUAGAGUAAAAUAAAGAAAUAUUUUAGACAUCAGAGACUUGUUUUAUCUUCAUUACGUGACACGUGUUUAACUGGUGCGCGGUGACAGGAUCAACCAGAAGUACCACUUCUUUCACGGGCCAGAGGGAAGAAAACGUGCCGGACCUCCACAACGAACGGGCAAAUAUUCGUAUAUCCGCCAAGCAAGUGAAUACAUGAAAAAAGUGUUCCUUCUAGAAUAUUCUGACGAAUCAACCAAUGAAUAAUAACCAUACUAGCUGAGGACCAAUCAAAAGUUUAAAAGAAAAAUAUGCAAAUUAAAUUGGGGACAAAAUGGGGAUGUUUGGAAGGAGAGCGGCACUCUGCGCUUGGGUUAGGAAAAUACAACAGAUAGACUUAGAAAAUAAUGUUUAAACUAUAAAUACAAUUUUGAUGUUAGAGAAUAGAGUAAAAUAAAGAAAUAUUUUAGACA